GCCAGUGUGGUGCAGUGGUUUGAGUAUUGGACUAGGAUUUGGGAGACCAGGGUUCGAUUCCCCACUUGGCCA
rnacentral:tRNA from 1 species